UACGUAGGGGGGCUAGCGUUGUCCGGAUUUAUUGGGCGUAAAGCGCGUGUAGGCGGCCAGAUAAGUCCGCUGUGAAAUCUCGAGGCUCAACUUCGAGCUGUCGGUGGAAACUGUCUGGCUAGAGUCCGGAAGAGGAGAAUGGAAUUCCUGGUGUAGCGGUGAAAUGCGCAGAUAUCAGGAAGAACACCCGUGGCGAAGGCGGUUCUCUGGGACGGUACUGACGCUGAGACGCGAAAGCGUGGGGAGCGAACAGG
rnacentral:rRNA from 1 species